AGUGAACGCUGGCGGUAGGCCUAACACAUGCAAGUCGAACGGCAGCACAGUAAGAGCUUGCUCUUACGGGUGGCGAGUGGCGGACGGGUGGGGAAUACAGCGGAAUCUACUUUUUCGUGGGGGAUAACGUAGGGAAACUUACGCUAAUACCGCAUACGACCUACGGGUGAAAGCAGGGGAUCUUCGGACCUUGCGCGAUCGAAUGAGUCGAUGUCGGAUUAGUUAGUUGGCGGGGUAAAGGCCCACCAAGGCGACGAUCCGUAGCUGGUCUGAGAGGAUGAUCAGCCACACUGGAAGUGAGACACGGUCCAGACUCCGACGGGAGGCAGCAGUGGGGAAUAGUGGACAAUGGGCGCAAGCCUGAUCCAGCCAUACCGCGUGGGUGAAGAAGGCCUUCGGGUUGUAAAGCCCUUUUGUUGGGAAAGAAAAGCAGCAGGUUAAUACCCCGCUGUUCUGACGGUACCCAAAGAAUAAGCACCGGCUAACUUCGUG
rnacentral:rRNA from 1 species